UACGUAGGGUGCAAGCGUUGUCCGGAAUUAUUGGGCGUAAAGAGCUCGUAGGCGGUCUGUCGCGUCGGAUGUGAAAAUCCAGGGCUUAACCCUGGGCCUGCAUUCGAUACGGGCAGACUAGAGUUCGGUAGGGGAGACUGGAAUUCCUGGUGUAGCGGUGAAAUGCGCAGAUAUCAGGAGGAACACCGGUGGCGAAGGCGGCUCUCUGGGACGGUACUGACGCUGAGACACGAAAGCGUGGGGAGCAAACAGG
rnacentral:rRNA from 1 species